AGGGAUCAUUACGGAGUUUGCGCUCCCAAACCCCUGUGGACUUAUACCUUUACUGUUGCCUCGGCGGGCACGGCUGCGGGCGCUCCCUCGCGGGGGCGCCGGGGCCAGGCGCCCGCCGGAGGACCCAAACUCUUCUGUAUUUUCUUGCGCAUGUCUGAGUGGAUUUACUGUCAAAUGAAUCAAAACUUUCAACAACGGAUCUCUUGGUUCUGGCAUCGAUGAAGAACGCAGCGAAAUGCGAUAAGUAAUGUGAAUUGCAGAAUUCAGUGAAUCAUCGAAUCUUUGAACGCACAUUGCGCCCGCCAGUAUUCUGGCGGGCAUGCCUGUUCGAGCGUCAUUUCAACCCUCAAGCCCUCUGCGUGCUUGGUGUUGGGGGCCGGCCCGCCCGCCUCGCGGUGGCGGCCGCCCCCGAAAUGAAUCGGCGGUCUCGUCGCAGCCUCCUUUGCGUAGUAACAUACCACCUCGCAACCGGGAGCGCGGCGCGGCCACUGCCGUAAAACGCCCAACUUCUCCAAGAGUUGACCUCGAAUCAGG
rnacentral:rRNA from 1 species